AAGACGCGAAUUUGGAUAUAUUUUUAGC
rnacentral:piRNA from 1 species